AUGCAAAACUAGCUGUUGCCCGCAACUUCGUCUGCGUGGGCAAUAUAGAAUAGUCAAAAUACUACUUAUCCCGUAGGUGCAUUCUUUCACGUGACAGUAUAAUUAGGAUUAGCACUUAGCAUAGCAUAGAUGUCAUAGGUGUCAUUGAACAUCAUUGGCAGUCGUUACGGGUAGUCAGAAGCCAGUAAGUCUGACACCAGUCUAACCAAGGGGUAUCGGGUUGCCCGGGUUACUGGGUUGAGGAGGUCAGAUAGGCAGUCGCUUCUUGUAAAGCACUGGUACUCAGCUGAAUCCGCUUAGACUGGAAGCCGACCCCAACAUGAUUGGGAAAAAGGCUCGGAGGAUGAUGACUUAGCAGUAGCAUAGAUUCAUUGAUCAAGGUUGUGUUGUGGAUGUGACCAUUUAUCUAAACGAAAGAAGUAAAUUUUGUGACGUUGUGAAUAUCUCUGGAUCUAGUCAGCCAAUUUGGAAAAUUAUUACGUAUGGUGCGUAAGUAAUUUUAAUGAAAGACAAUUGCAUGCGGCAGAGAUGAGAAUGUUAAGAGGUAUGUGUGGAGUUACGCGAAUGGAUAGAGUGAGGAAUGAGUAUAUAAGAGGAAGUUUGAAAGUAGCGCCGGUAUCAGAAAAACUGCGUGGAAACCGGCUGUCGUGGUAUGGGCAUGUGAUGCGGAGGGAUGAGAGUCAUGUUGUGAGGAAGGUGAUGAGUAUGAACGUGGACGGAUAUAGUGGAAGAGGAAGACCAAAGAAACGAUGGAUGGAUUGUGUGAAAGUAGAUAUGGUAAGAAAGAAUGUUACUUGUGAGAUGACGGCAGAUAGAAGAGUAUGGAAGAAGAAAACAUGCUGCGCCGACCCCAAAUAAAAUUGGGAUAAGGGCAGGAGGAUGAUGAUGAUGG
rnacentral:lncRNA from 1 species